UUUGAAUGAAAGGCAGCUAAUGACCCAAGCGUCCUGCCUGAACGCAGCCUUCCUUCUCCUUUGUGUGAA
rfam:Bacillus subtilis subsp. subtilis str. 168 complete genome.